rnacentral:rRNA from 1 species
UACAGAGGUCUCAAGCGUUGUUCGGAUUCAUUGGGCGUAAAGGGUGCGUAGGCGGCGCGGUAAGUCUGGUGUGAAAUCUCGGAGCUUAACUCCGAAACUGCAUUCGAUACUGCCGUGCUUGAGGACUGGAGAGGAGACUGGAAUUUACGGUGUAGCGGUGAAAUGCGUAGAUAUCGUAAGGAAGACCAGUGGCGAAGGCGGGUCUCUGGACAGUUCCUGACGCUGAGGCACGAAGGCCAGGGGAGCAAACGGG